GCAAGUCGAAAGUGCACUUCGGUGCAACUUGGCAAACGGGAGAGUAACACAUUGGUAACCUACCUUGAGGACGAGGAUAACCCGAAGAAAUUCGGAAUAAUACUCGAUAAUAGCGGGGGGACGUAAGUCAUUCCCACUUAAAGCUUCGACGCCUCAAGAGGGGCCUAUGGCCUAUCAGCUAGUUGGUGAGGUAAUAGCUCACCAAGGCAAUGACGGGUAGCGGGUGUGAGAGCAUGGCC
rnacentral:rRNA from 1 species